rnacentral:rRNA from 1 species
CACGUAGGCACCAAGCGUUGUCCGGAUUUAUUGGGCGUAAAGAGCUCGUAGGCGGCUUGUCGCGUCGACUGUGAAAUCCCGCGGCUCAACCGCGGGUCUGCAGUCGAUACGGGCAGGCUAGAGUUCGGUAGGGGAGACUGGAAUUCCUGGUGUAGCGGUGAAAUGCGCAGAUAUCAGGAGGAACACCGAUGGCGAAGGCAGGUCUCUGGGCCGAUACUGACGCUGAGGAGCGAAAGCGUGGGGAGCGAACAGG